UAAUACGUAGGUGGCAAGCGUUAUCCGGAAUUAUUGGGCGUAAAGGGUGCGUAGGCGGUUGAUUAAGUUUUAGGUGAAAGCGUGGGGCUCAACUCCAUACAGCCUAAGAAACUGGUCAACUAGAGUGCAGAAGAGGGUAGUGGAAUUCCAUGUGUAGCGGUAAAAUGCGUAGAUAUAUGGAGGAACACCAGUGGCGAAGGCGGCUACCUGGUCUGUAACUGACGCUCAAGCACGAAAGCGUGGGGAGCAAAUAGG
rnacentral:rRNA from 1 species